rnacentral:rRNA from 1 species
ACGGAAGGCAGCAGUGGGGAAUAUUGGGCAAUGGGCGAAAGCCUGACCCAGCGACGCCGCGUGAGGGAAGACGGUCUUCGGAUUGUAAACCUCUUUCAGCAGGGAAGAAAAUGACGGUACCUGCAGAAGAAGCCACGGCUAACUACGUGCCAGCAGCCGCGGUAAUACGUAGGUGGCAAGCGUUAUCCGGAAUUACUGGGUGUAAAGGGUGUGUAGGCGGGACUGCAAGUCAGGCGUGAAAAUCAUGGGCUCAACCCAUGACUUGCGCUUGAAACUGUUUUUCUUGAGUGUGGGAGAGGUAAGUGGAAUUCCCAGUGUAGCGGUGAAAUGCGUAGAUAUUGGGAGGAACACCAGUGGCGAAGGCGGCUUACUGGACCACGACUGACGCUGAGACACGAAAGCGUGGGGAGCAAACAGGAUUAGAUACCCUGGUA